GCAGGUAAAUAAAAACAUAAAAACUAUAUUAUUACAUAACGUUGUCUAACAUCAACAACUUCUAGAAACAAAUCAAAUAACAUAAUACAACUUUAAGUUAUUAACAAAAAACAAGGAGAAUGCAUAAAAAAAGGAUACUUGACCAAUCAUAUUCUGACCGACCAUACCAUAGGAUUCUUGCGUUUAUUAUCAAACUUCUCUUCGUAACAAUAAACAUUUUCCUUACGGUAACAAUCCACUACUUUUCUAGUACAUAAAUAAAUUUUUACGAGGCUUAGAUAGAGUCCUCCAAUAGUAGAUUGAGUAAAUGAUAUCUGACAACAAGGAGAAUUGCAAACUUAUGUAGAAAAGUAUUGGGAGGAAGGAAAUAAUUGAAAUGCAACUAGGAACCCACACCGAAGCAUGGUAGUAUAUUAUGAAGAAGGAACUACUAAAUGCUACCAUCAUGCUUGUUAUGGAGAUGAAUAAUGUGAUCAAUCCAAAUAUUAGCUUUGAAGGCAGUGAUUUAUAGAAGUCAUACUCUCCAUACCGCGAGACAAGAAUAGACAAGAAUAUCAACAAUGUUGUCGAAGAUGAGAUAAAUGCAAGUGCAUCUGAUAUUGCAAAC
rnacentral:lncRNA from 1 species